UGCAGUCGAGCGGAACGAGUUAACUGAACCUUCGGGGGACGUUAACGGCGUCGAGCGGCGGACGGGUGAGUAAUGCCUAGGAAAUUGCCCUGAUGUGGGGGAUAACCAUUGGAAACGAUGGCUAAUACCGCAUGAUGCCUACGGGCCAAAGAGGGGGACCUUCGGGCCUCUCGCGUCAGGAUAUGCCUAGGUGGGAUUAGCUAGUUGGUGAGGUAAGGGCUCACCAAGGCAACGAUCCCUAGCUGGUCUGAGAGGAUGAUCAGCCACACUGGAACUGAGACACGGUCCAGACUCCUACGGGAGGCAGCAGUGGGGAAUAUUGCACAAUGGGCGCAAGCCUGAUGCAGCCAUGCCGCGUGUGUGAAGAAGGCCUUCGGGUUGUAAAGCACUUUCAGUCGUGAGGAAGGUAGUGUGGUUAAUAGAUGCAUUAUUUGACGUUAGCGACAGAAGAAGCACCGGCUAACUCCGUGCCAGCAGCCGCGGUAAUACGGAGGGUGCGAGCGUUAAUCGGAAUUACUGGGCGUAAAGCGCAUGCAGGUGGUUUGUUAAGUCAGAUGUGAAAGCCCGGGGCUCAACCUCGGAAUAGCAUUUGAAACUGGCAGACUAGAGUACUGUAGAGGGGGGUAGAAUUUCAGGUGUAGCGGUGAAAUGCGUAGAGAUCUGAAGGAAUACCGGUGGCGAAGGCGGCCCCCUGGACAGAUACUGACACUCAGAUGCGAAAGCGUGGGGGAGCAAACAGGAUUAGAUACCCUGGUAGUCCACGCCGUAAACGAUGUCUACUUGGAGGUUGUGGCCUUGAGCCGUGGCUUUCGGAGCUAACGCGUUAAGUAGACCGCCUGGGAG
rnacentral:rRNA from 1 species